rfam:Neisseria meningitidis MC58, complete genome.
CAUCUAUAGUUUCAGACAUGGAAUCGCCGAAAACGUCGGCGGUAAAUGCAAAGCUAAGCGGC